rnacentral:rRNA from 1 species
GACGAACUGUGCAAACGUUAUUCGGAAUCACUGGGCUUAAAGGGUGCGUAGGCGGUCUUGUAAGUAGGGUGUGAAAGCCCCCGGCUCAACCGGGGAACUGCGUCCUAAACUGCGAGGCUAGAGUGAGGUAGGGGUGUGUGGAAUUCCUGGUGGAGCGGUGAAAUGCGCAGAUAUCAGGAGGAACACCCGUAGCGAAGGCGGCACUCUGGGCCGGAACUGACGCUGAGGAGCGAAAGCGUGGGGAGCGAACAGG